rnacentral:sRNA from 12 species
AUAUGAGGCCCAGUUAGAGGCCUCACUAACCUGGGGAGGUUAGAUAUCCAUCCGGGUAGCGGACACUCCGCCCCUACUGGAGGAACGGCAUCCAGAGGCCGGGUUAUCAGCCCCGGUCGGAACCGUUUC